UACAGAGGUCUCAAGCGUUGUUCGGAUUCAUUGGGCGUAAAGGGGUGCGAUAGGUGGCAUGGUAAGUCGGAUGUGAAAUCCCGGGGCUCGACCCGGAACUGCAUUCGACUACUGCUGCGCUAGAGUACUGGAGAGGAGAUUGGAAUUUACGGUGUAGCGGUGGAAUGCGCAGAUAUCAGGAGGAACAUCCGUGGCGAAGGCGGCUCUCUGGGACGGUACUGACGCUGAGGCGCGAAAGCGUGGGGAGCAAACAGG
rnacentral:rRNA from 1 species